UCGAAAGAAACGCGUUUUUAUCGCGCGCCGUGCCGUCAGUGCACCAGGACCACGGUCGUCGUCUGUCGGACGUGAAAUUUCUCAUGGAAAUGGUGGAACAACGACGAGACACACGGCGACGAUAGAAACGCGUUCUCGUGUCGUUUCGCAGACAAUAAAAAAAAAAAAUUAACAAAAACAUAACAUCAACAGCAGUCGUACAGCAUAACACGCUGCGGAAGGGAUCGCGUAUCGUCGAGCGUGCGCGAUCAAAAAGCGAAACGAACGGAGGAACGCUAAGUGAACGAAAAACGCGGGGGGGGCAGAGGAGGAAGGAAGCAUUCGCGAAAUAUAUAGCAUUUUCUUUCUCGUUCUUUACUGUACAAUCGAGACUCGCGAGAAUUCUCUUCUCGUCAGUGGGAAACGCGUCGAUGCAAUCGACAAAUUCACCGGCACAACCCCCCCGAUCCUUCGAGAACACCGUCGAUCGCCACGUGCAUGACACUCGGGGAUACUUUGUCCACCUUCCUAAGCGUUAACUUACUAAUUACCUCGUAGGCUUUCUCGUUUACGUAUUUAGAUUUCGGAGAAUUAGGCGCACCCCAGCGCGCCCACUUUAUCGUAAUAAUCGUAUCGGUGAACCGAGACAAUGA
rnacentral:misc_RNA from 1 species